UACGAAGGGGGCUAGCGUUGUUCGGAAUUACUGGGCGUAAAGCGCACGUAGGCGGAUAUUUAAGUCAGGGGUGAAAUCCCAGAGCUCAACUCUGGAACUGCCUUUGAUACUGGGUAUCUCGAGUAUGGAAGAGGUAAGUGGAAUUCCUAGUGUAGAGGUGAAAUUCGUAGAUAUUCGCAAGAACACCAGUGGCGAAGGCGGCUCACUGGCCCGAUACUGACGCUGAGGUGCGAAAGCGUGGGGAGCAAACAGG
rnacentral:rRNA from 1 species